AAAGCUUGCUGGUGUGUGUGAGUGUGUGAGCCAGCCAAACACUUUGGGAGUGGCUCAGGAUAAAAUCCAGCCCAGGAGCCCUGCAGAGACUUGUCUGUGAAGGUGGAAAGAAAAUAAAAAACGAAGUAGACGGAACAAAGAUAAUUACUUGACAUCUUUGUGGCACAGGUGAACAUCAGGGACGACCAUUCACUUUUACAGGAUCUUCUCAAGGAUCAUUAUUACUCUUUUAGUCUUUUGUGCAAAGCCAGAACUUUCCCCUGAGUUUCACCUGGACUUCAGUUAGUAUGGAAUGGAUUCAUUAACAAUGGAAACAAGCGAUUCAGGAGGAAGUUCAGGAGAAAGAGUUAUAACUGAAUCAUUUUCGACCAGCAGACUCACAUCUUUACCACCAAGUAAGACUUUCUGCUCUUCACCGUCUCCCAGAAACAGCUUCUUAUAUUCUUUCUCUUUUUAAAAAUG
ensembl:lncRNA